AUUGAACGCUGGCGGCAGGCCUAACACAUGCAAGUCGAGCGGAGCGGCGGACGGGGGAGUGAUGCCUAGGAAUCUGCCUGGUAGUGGGGGCUAACGUCCGGGAACGGGCGCUAAUACCGCAUACUAUCAGAUGAGCCUAGGUCGGAUUAGCUGGUUGGUGGGGUAAAGGCCUACCAAGGCGAGGAUCCGUACCUGGCCUGAGAGGAUGAUCAGUCACACGGGAACUGGGACCCGGUCAAGACUCCUACGGGAGGCAGCGGUGGGGAUUAUUGGCCAAUGGGCGAAAGCCGGACCCAUCCAUGCCGCGUGGGUGAAGAAGGUCUUGGGAUGGUAAGGCAUUUUAAGUUGGGAGGCGUUACCAACAGAAUAAGCACCGGCUAACUUCGUGCCAGCAGCCGCGGUAAUUC
rnacentral:rRNA from 1 species